AUUGAACGCUGGCGGCAGGCCUAACACAUGCACGUCGAACGAGUGGCGGACGGGUGAGUAAAACCUGGGACACUGCCUGAUGGUGGGGGAUAACUACUGGAAACGGUAGCUAAUACCGCAUACCAUGAGAUGUGCCCAGAUGGGUUUAGUGAGUUGGUGGGGUAACGGCUCACCCAGGAGACGAUCACUAGCUGGUCUGAGAGGAUGACCAGCCACACUGGAACUGACACACGUUCCAGACUCCUAUGGUAGGCAGCGGUGGGGAAUAUCGCACAGUGGGCGCAAUCCUGAUGCUGCCAUGCCACGUAGAUGAAGAAGGCCUUGGGGUUGUAGAGUACUUUCAGCGUUGUGGCGUUACUCGCAGAAGAAGCACCGGCUAACUCCGUGCCAGCAGCCGCGGUAAUUC
rnacentral:rRNA from 1 species